CGGAUUAGAUACCCUGGUAGUCCACGCCCUAAACUAUGUCAACUGGUUGUCGGGGAAGAAAUUCCUUGGUAACGAAGCUAACGCGUGAAGUUGACCGCCUGGGGAGUACGGCCGCAAGGUUAAAACUCAAAGGAAUUGACGGGGACCCGCACAAGCGGUGGAUUAUGUGGAUUAAUUCGAUGCAACGCGAAAAACCUUACCUACCCUUGACAUGUACGGAAUCCCCCAGAGACGGGGGAGUGCCCGAAAGGGAGCCGUAACACAGGUGCUGCAUGGCUGUCGUCAGCUCGUGUCGUGAGAUGUUGGGUUAAGUCCCGCAACGAGCGCAACCCUUGCCAUUAGUUGCUACAUUCAGUUGGGCACUCUAAUGGGACUGCCGGUGACAAACCGGAGGAAGGUGGGGAUGACGUCAAGUCCUCAUGGCCCUUAUGGGUAGGGCUUCACACGUAAUACAAUGGCCGGUACAGGGGGCUGCCAACCCGCGAGGGGGCGCAAAUCCCAGAAAGCCGGUCGUAGUCCGGAUUGCAGUCUGCAACUCGACUGCAUGAAGCCGGAAUCGCUAGUAAUCGCGGAUCAGCACGUCGCGGUGAAUACGUUCCCGGGUCUUGUACACACCGCCCGUCACACCAUGGGAGUGGGUUUCACCAGAAGUAGUUAGCCUAACCGCAAGGAGGGCGACUACCACGGUGAGAUUCAUGACUGGGGUGAAGUCGUAACAAG
rnacentral:rRNA from 1 species